rnacentral:rRNA from 1 species
UUUGUGGUGUAGCGGUGAAAUGCAUAGAUAUCACGAGGAACUCCGAUUGCGCAGGCAGCUUACUAGGCCAUAACUGACGCUCAGGCACGAAGGCGUGGGGAUCAAACAGGAUUAGAUACCCUGGUAGUCCACGCAGUAAACUAUGAUUACUCGCUGUUUGCGAUACACAGUAAGCGGCUUAGCGAAAGCGUUAAGUAAUCCACCUGGGGAGUACGUUCGCAAGAAUGAAACUCAAAGGAAUUGACGGGGGCCCGCACAAGCGGAGGAACAUGUGGUUUAAUUCGAUGAUACGCGAGGAACCUUACCCGGGCUUGAAAUGCAUCUGACAGGAGCAGAGAGGCUCUCUCCCUUCGGGGCAGAUGUGUAGGUGCUGCAUGGUUGUCGUCAGCUCGUGCCGUGAGGUGUCGGCUUAAGUGCCAUAACGAGCGCAACCCUCAUCAUUAGUUGCCAUCAGGUUAAGCUGGGGACUCUAAUGAGACUGCCAUCGUAAGAUGCGAGGAAGGUGGGGAUGACGUCAAAUCAGCACGGCCCUUACGUCCGGGGCGACACACGUGUUACAAUGGGUGGUACAAAGGGCAGCUACAUGGCGACAUGAUGCUAAUCUCCAAAACCACUCUCAGUUCGGAUCGAAGUCUGCAACUCGACUUCGUGAAGCUGGAUUCGCUAGUAAUCGCGCAUCAGCCACGGCGCGGUGAAUACGUUCCCGGGCCUUGUACACACCGCCCGUCAAGCCAUGGAAGCUGGGGGUACCUGAAGCACGUAACCGCAAGGAUCGUUCUAGGGUAAAACUGGUAACUGGGGCUAAGUCGUAACCAAGGUAACCGUA